UGUCCUUUCCCUUUUGACGGGCAGUACC
rnacentral:sRNA from 1 species